AUGAAACGUCUGCAAGAAAACAACAAGGCUCAGAGAGCACCAAGGACUCCACAGUUCAACCCUGAGCUACAAAUACUCGCUUCGAUUGGCAAAAAUCAACGUAUUGCUCAUCAAAUUGUUUAUCAGUGAUCCGCUUGGGGAAGAAACAGUCCUCCCCAAUGCUAAUCUGAACACAAGGAGUAAAUUCCAUACCUGUAAUUCUACCAAUCUGGAUACUGAAAUGAUUUUUGAAGUUGAGUGUAAUUCAUAUUGAGUAACAGGCCACACAGCUUUUCUUUUGAAAUAAUGUACAUAGUUAAUACUUGAACUGACAAGGACAAUAUGACCCACAGAUCUUUGUUUAAUUCCUAGUGGUAAAUAACCUUAAUCCAUUAAUUCAGCCAUUAAGAAAGGAAACUGUAGCAUUUGCUAAAAUAGUUGAGGACUAAAUAAGAGUUGAGAAACAUUCUAGAAUGCUGUGUGGUAUUUUCGUAAUUAAAUUGAUUUCUUCUGUGUAAACUUAAAAGCAUAUCAACUGAUGAGAAUUAGUACAGGUAUAAUGAAUGUUUCCACUGUUUCAUCUUUCAUUCAUAUAACAGGUUUACAUAUUAAUUAGACUUAGGUGAGCAUGAGCACUGACACACAACUGUCUUGAUGCUAUAGCAAUCUUCAUGAAAACUUCAUACUAUCAUCUACGGAAUACUACUUCUAUCAUCAAAUAAAACAAAUCUUAAAACUGAUUAUUUAAGCAACAAAAUUAUAUAUACCUAUAAACAUAUGCAAUACUCAUGACAAUUGGGCUUUAUUUCCAUAUUAUUAAUCUUGCAGUUGAAACAAACGUGCUACUCAAGUGAGGGUACUGGAAUUCAGAAAAUAAAUGGCUGUUUAGCUAUAGCACUGGUAAAGGUAUUAUAUAACAUUUUGUACAAAACAAAGCUGUGACUAGCUUUCUACCUCUGAUAUUUAGCCACAACUUGCUGUCUGUCCCUAGCUAUGUUAUAGUUUCAACAACCACCUUAAAUCCAUAAAUGUUGCUUGACUGAGUUGUUUUGAUAAGUUUACUUUGGCAUAUGUUUUGUAUGAUACAAUUUAACAGUGUUCAGGAAUAAAAAUUCUGCAAACAAAGUAUAAAAUAGAUUUUUAUUGAGGGGCAAAAGUGAUUGUGAAAUGGGAAAAAACUAAUAAAGGAAUAUUAAAUCAA